GCCCUGGAACAGACCAGCAACAACGUGGUUUCGGGAACACAGGCUUCUCUCCAGUUCAUGUUUAUUUGAAUGUACAGUAUUCCAGACUCUGGAACACUGCUUUUCUAACUCAGAGGGUAUGUUUUCCAGAAAAGGAGCCUGUCCCUCAUUUAAUAGUUGAUGUACAUGUAUAUAAGUUUACUAAUUUCAUAGUUGUGGUGAUACUCAUUUACAGUAAAAUACUAAAAAAUUCAAAAAAGGAUUUUAAAUUAAACCCUCCAUGACACUAUUAUCAGAUUGCUGGCCUUGUGCUAACCUUGUUUGUGGCCCUUGUCCUCAGUGCUUAUGUGCUUAAAUUCUUCAAGUAUGACACUUCUUCCUCUCUAAAGAGUUGGUAAAUUUUAGUAAAAGAAAAACUGACCCAUUUUUAAUUUCUUUCUUUCCUUUUAAGAAAUUUCUAGAGAAUUUAUGUGUUUGCUCUAUUUUUUAUUCUAAAUGUAGGCUAUGAAUUUUCACAUAAUGACCAUACGUUACAGGACCUGCAUUUUGGACAUCAGAGCAAAGCUGGGAUUCCUUGUUUUAAGCAGCUGCACAGGUACACGUAACCUGCUAUCAUGAGGAGAAAUCUUCCACUGUCCUAUAGAGCAAGUGGUAUUUAUGUUUAAACAGGAAGAAAAUUUCUCUCUGACUACUGUAUUAAUUAUCAAGAUUAAAGAAAGAAGGUGGCUGCAAUUCUUAGUGGAUGGUGAGGAAAGGGGUCACCACCCCCUGCCAGAGAGUCCUCUCCUAAAACUAUCCUUGUCUGGCAUGACAAACAGGAACUGUUCAUAGCAUUUGGAAAAUGCAACCACCAUGUCACCAAGUGUGCAUGCUAGCUGCAUGCUAGCCUGAGGUGCGGAGGAGGAGAGGGCAGAUAAGAAUACAUCUCUUUUCAGAGUCAAAUCCUCACAUGGACUAGAAAGCUGUUAUGCAGUUUCAUUUGAGAGGCUAGGCAAGCCAGUCUCACACAACUUCCUUUCAAUAGCCAUAAAUCUGGAGCUAAGAAGGUAGAAUCAUACUUUUAACUUGCCUACUUUAAUAUUUACAUAUAAGAUUAAUUUAUACUGUGACUCUUAGAGAAAUUAAAUAUAAUUUCUACAUCUUUUGUUAAAAUUUUUGACUUUCCAUUUAAAAAUAAUUCACAUACCAUUCGAGAGCACUCAACAUGUUUAACAUUAUUUAACCAAGUAUAAAAGCAGCUAUCCUUAUAGGACUGGGGUGAAAAUGCUUGUUCAAUCAGGAUCUCUGACAUGGAAGAAGAAAGGAUGUGUGGAGGGAAGAUGACCUGACCUUUAUGGAGAUCUGUUAGAAUCUUUACUACUGCCCAAGUUGGCCCCAGUUUCUGGAUCCCUGUGCCUUUAUAUCUCUCAAGUGCUGGGAUUACAGCUCUAAAAGCAUGGUAGAGGCCCACCCCUGCUAACUGUAACUCUUCCAGUAUCCCCUCUUUGGAUUAAUGCAUCUUCCAACUCCCAUUUGAGAAGCUUCCAUUUGCAGUAGAUGUUGGUUAACACAGAGGACCAUAAAUGAUCAAGGUACAGAAAGACUGCAUAAUGUAUAAUUCCCUGCAGGGAAUGCAUGUAUCUUAUCACUUCCCAAGGCUCAGAGGGGGUUAGAGUAUAAGUGCCAGAGGCAGUAGAUGAAACAAAGAAACUGUAUCAUAAAAACUCUGCAGGGCAGCUGCACUCACACAUGAACGCACAGCAGCUGCAAUAGCACACAACAGAUCUAUGCAUAUCCAGGCAGACCAAAGGCCUGGGCAGAGAUGGAAGUUGGAUGUGGAAUCCUAGCCCUACUGGCAAGUUUAGCUGCUGGGAGGGAGGGAGGGAUAGGGGGAGGGGGAGAGUGAGAGAGAGUGAGAGAGAGAGAGAGUGUGAGCUUUUUUUCUAAGAGUGGAGCCCCCACACCUCACUAUAAGCUAUCCUGGAUCCAGUGGAAGACCACGUAUCAAAUACUAUUUUGACAGCAAAAAUUGGUCUUGAUUUUUCUUUAAAGGACACAAAGUUUGGUGGGCACAGAAGGGGGAGUGGAUAUGAUCUAAACGCAUUUUCUAAACCUCUCAAUUGCGUUCUAAAGAAUAUGAUUACUUCUUGUAAUAUUAAUUCCAUAAGAUUAGUCCUAUCACUUUGAUCAGCAUAUUCUUUCCAGCAAGAUAACCAUUCCUGUAGAGUCUUUGACUUCAAUGCUCAUAGUGUUUGAUACCCUACUUCCUGUUCUGAAGGAGGAGGUCAAAGACAGUUUGUGAAUAUUUGAGAAUAAGUCCAGUCCCCAUACUAUAAAUCGAAUGACUGGUGACAGCUCUGAAAUGGAGCCAUUACUGGAUAGAUUAUGUAACCCAGGUUUUACCACUAAUAAAGAAAAAAAUUCCACUGUAAAACAAAAGUCUAGGAAGUUAAGAAAACAAGUAUUUCACUGUUAUCAAUUAGAGUAACACCAGAACGGGACUUAGAAAGUGAGGCAGACAUACUUAAAGCACUCUAGGAGCACACAUAUGCUCUCCCCUGCACCACAUCCACAUUGACCUUACCUU